rnacentral:rRNA from 1 species
UCAGUCGACUCCUACGGGAGGCAGCAGUGGGGAAUCUUGGACAAUGGGCGCAAGCCUGAUCCAGCCAUGCCGCGUGAGUGAUGAAGGCCCUAGGGUCGUAAAGCUCUUUCGCCAGGGGAUGAUAAUGACAGUACCUGGUAAAGAAACCCCGGCUAACUCCGUGCCAGCAGCCGCGGUAAUACGGAGGGGUUAGCGUUGUUCGGAAUUACUGGGCGUAAAGCGCGCGUAGGCGGAUUAGUCAGUUAGAGGUGAAAUCCCAGGGCUCAACCCUGGAACUGCCUUUAAUACUGCUAGUCUUGAGUUCGAGAGAGGUGAGUGGAAUUCCGAGUGUAGAGGUGAAAUUCGUAGAUAUUCGGAGGAACACCAGUGGCGAAGGCGGCUCACUGGCUCGAUACUGACGCUGAGGUGCGAAAGUGUGGGGAGCAAACAGGAUUAGAUACCCUGGUAG